ACUCAAUGUGGGGGAUCACUUAGUCCUUAAAUCGAUGAAAAACAUAGUAAUUUGUGGAAAAUGAUGUGAGUUGUGAAAUUUUGUGAGCAUUGUGUUUUUGAAUGAAAAUUUCAGCAUGGAUGCAUGCGUGUCUAUGCUGCAUUUGUUUCAGUAUAUAUCAAUGUAAAUUUGUCGUUACUAUUGCUUGAAAGCAAUAGUAUAAACUGUUCGCGAUCACAAGUGUGAUAUCGAUCUUGCGUUAUAUGACGUGUAUCUGAAAUCAAGUGUGACGACCCGCUGAACUUAAGCAUAUCAAUAAGCGGAGGAAAAGAAAUCAAAUGAGAUUUCCCUAGUAGCUGCGAGUGAACUGGAAUCAAGCCUAUUGCCAAUUCUUAUGUUUUGUACAAUAAGAGAUGAGGUGUAAAGGUAUCUCGUGUUCAGCAGUGGCACGGCCUAAUUAUUAUUGAGUCAGUGCUCAAAGAAGGUGAAAAGCCUGUAUGGUUGCGCCGAUCUGUUGAACCGUGAUACUGGAGAGUCUAGUUGUUUGAGAGUACAACUUAAAGUUGGUGGUAAAUUUCAUCAAAGGCUAAAUAUACGAAGGGACUAAUAGCGAACAAGUACCAUGAGGGAAAGUUGAAAAGAACUCUGACGAGAGAGUUCAACAGUACGUGAAACCACAUUGAGUAAAACAGAUAACUGUGUUGUUAUGUGGUGUGCCUAUCAACAGUCACUUCGGCGUUGCCACGUUUUGGGUGUAGGCUGUCUAUUCAGCUGAAUGCCUAAAACUAGCAUAGUCGGAGGUGCUGUGCACUAGUGCGCACUCGAUCAUUGAGAAGCUAUGCCGCUGCUGCAUCGGUAUGUGUCAGUCCGCACUUAGUGUGUAGUCACAUGCUGGGUAAUUGCUAGCCUUGGCGUAGUUUAGCUGUGUGACAGCUGUGGGUUGCGUUUGUCGAUUGUAGCUGCUGUAUCUGCGAACUGGUUUAUUCCUUUUUGCGGUGAGUAUGUUGCAGGACGCAAGCAGCCCGCCAUCAAUGGUUAACAUUAGUUAUUUGACCCGUCUUGAAACACGGACCAAGGAGUUCAAAUGGCACGCGAGUCAUUGGGUUUAAUCACCCGAAGGCGAAGUGAAAUGCAAACGUAUUGUUAUUUGUGGUUGUUCCAUGAUUAAGCGAUAAGCUACUUAUGCUUUCUGGCAUUUGUAGACUACAAGCGUGAUGUUUGAGACCCGAAAGAUGGUGACCUAUGCCUAGUCAAGAUGAAGCCAGAGGAAACUCUGGUGGAUGUCUGAAGUUGUUCUGACGUGCAAAUCGAUAAUCUGAUCUGGGUAUAGGGGCGAAAGACUAAUCGAACCAUCUAGUAGCUGGUUCCUUCCGAAGUUUCCCUCAGGAUAGCAAGCGUACAUUUUUAGUUUCAUCCCGUAAAGCGAAUGAUUAGAGGUAUUGGGGCGUAUAUAGCCUCAACCUAUUCUCAAACUUUUAAUGGGUGUGAGUGUUCUUUCUCAAUUGAAGAACGCUGUUAAAUAAGUAUGCUUAGUGGGCCAUUUUUGGUAAGCAGAACUGGCGCUGUGGGUUGAACCAAUUGUUGAGUUAAAGUGCCUAAAGCUGGAAUGCGCAUGAGAUCUAUAAAGGGUGUUAGUUGCUGAAGACAGCAGGACGGUGGCCAUGGAAGUCGGAAUCCGCUAAGGAGUGUGUAACAACUCACCUGCCAAAGCAACUAGCCCCAAAAAUGGAUGGCGCUAUAGCAUUGUACUUAUACUCAACCUCUGAUGUGCAGCAUCGGUACACUCAGAGAGUAGGAAGGUAAUGUGAUAGCGUCGAAGGAUUUUGCUGUAAAGUAAUCUGGAGCUGUCACAUGUGCAGAUCUUGGUGGUAGUAGCAAGUACUCAAUUGAAAACCUUGAGCACUGAAGUUGGGGAUGGGUUCCAUGUGAACAGUAGUUGAUCGUGGGUCAGUCGGUCCUAAGCUUAUGAUGAAACAUGUGUUGAAUGUGUAUAAUAAUGUGUUAUCACUGUAAGCGAAAGGGAAUCAGGCUAACAUUCCUGAACCUGUACACCGGUGUGCUACUCUGUAGCAAUCGUGGCAACACAAGUGCGCUCAAAGACACCAAGGGAUAGGCUAGGAAGAGUUAUCUUUUCUUUUUAAGUCACUUGUACCCAUGGAAUGAAGUAGAUUUGAGAUAUGGGUAAGGGUGACAUAAAGCUGCUCAUUUUAGAGUAGUUUAGUUGACUCCCUUGGUCCUUGAAAAUUUGAGCGUGGUGUUAACCUUGGUGGCAGUCCGUACUAGUAUCCGCAGCAGGUCUCCAAGGUGCGUAGCCUUUAGUGUCUAGAUUAAUGUAGGUAAGGGAAGUCGGCAAAAUAGUUCUGUAACUUUGGGAGAAGGGAUGGCUCUGAAGGUUGAUCCAGUCAGGUUGACAGUAGAAGUAUUUAUGACAUUGUGUUGUCGCCGGAUGGGCUUCGUACCCGUCUGGAUGAUGACCGAAGUUGUGCUUAUGGACAUUGUUAGCUGAUUCGGUUUAUUCUGAUAUGACUGGAAAUUAUCAACUACUUCAGAACUGGUACGAACUGAGGGAAUCCGACUGUCUAAUUAAAACAAAGCAUUGUGAAGUCCAGUAAUUGGUUAUGACACAAUGUGAUUUCUGCCCAGUGCUCUGAAUGUCAAAGUGAAGAGAUUCUUUGAAGCGCGGGUAAACGGCGGGAGUAACUAUGACUCU
rnacentral:rRNA from 1 species